rfam:Fonsecaea multimorphosa CBS 102226 unplaced genomic scaffold supercont1.23, whole genome shotgun sequence.
GACGCGAUGGCCGAGCGGUUAAGGCGUGUGACUAGAACUUGCUCUACUAGGCUAUCACAUCUCUUCGGAGGCGUAGGUUCAAAUCCUGCUCGCGUCG